rnacentral:lncRNA from 1 species
UAGGGUGCAGACUGCAAUAAUUUCAAUUAAUCUAAUAUUAAAGUUGAUAAAAUUGUUGCAGUUAGCUUUCUAAAAAAAAUGGUGACGAUACAAUCGAUUUUAUCUUAAUACAAUUUACUCUUUCAAAUUAAUACUAGAAAUCCUAGAAUUUGUUUCCGAUUCUUGCAACCGAGCUCCGGUGAGCUCGCCCAACCAUUCCGGUCCAAUACAGGACACUUGAUAUUGCCGGACUCUAAGAUUAACAUGGUAUCAGUCUGAGAAAACGACUAUGUGCUUCUGCAAUGUUCUUUUCCUUGUGUUCUCUACUCUUCUUCUCCCUUGGUCAUAAUUCUCACAGUUUAAAACUGAAAGUAUGGUUAUGGAUUAUGGAAUGUAUUAACUUAGACCCUUUAAUUACUUCCUACCUACCUUUACCUGCAAUCUGUAAUAAAUUCAUCAGAAAGAAUAAAACAAGUGAAGUGAAAGUCAAGAAACGAAGCAAAUCAUUAUAUAUAUAUAUAAUUAGAUAAUACUCUUACUCGAUCAAGGCCACAAUUCAAGGCUGAUCGAGUAAUAUUAAUGGAUUUGGAAGGGAGAUCGGAGAUCGACACGACAACUCCAUUCCGGUCAGUAAAGGAGGCAGUUGCCAUCUUCGGGGAGAGAGUGUUGGUCGGUGAAGUCUAUUCUUCGAAGAACCAACAGGUGAGCAAUUAUAUGCUAGCUGUCAUUAAUUAUUUCUUCGAUUUAUCUGAUUAUCAAUUACCUCCCAAAUUAAUAUCCAAUGUGAAGAAGCAAGGUGCGGUGUUCCGGAAAUCAUCCAUCGUGGUGGAACUUGAAGAGGCC